CUAAGCCUAUUCUGACUUCGACAUCAAACGAUCAACGGAACAAAAGCUGGCAGGGAAGAGUUAACUAAUUAUCCAGUCAAAUGGCCGUAUGAAAAUAAGAAUUUGAAGAAUACAUCUGUCUACUGCUUUGUAGGAACUGCUUUGUUCUUACAAGCUCGGAAUAUCGGCUCGACUUCUUCACCUGGUGCGGUGGUUUAAGGAAAAGGCUACAAAACCAGCAGCAUUUAUCAGGGAAUUGUGGAAGCUCUGCACUACUAUUCUUAUUAUGAUGUUACAGAGCAAAAAUAAAAAUAAAAAGUUUUAUUUAUGACAGCUGAAAUACGGAAUUGUUCUCCUAAACGAGCGAACACCACAAGGCAAACAACAUGGACAGUCAAGGUAAACGGUUAAUACCCAAAAGCCAUGAUGUGAGACUAUUAUGAAGACAUGGAUGAUGAGCAGCAUAUUUAGCAAAAUAUUUAGCUCUCCUUUCUUCCCUUUAAAAUAUGUUUUUACUUUUCAAUCAAUCUGCGUUCUUCCCCUGGGAAAAAUAUUUUGUUUAUAUAUUUUGUUAAUAUUUUGUUUAUAUUGCCUUAAAUUUAAGCAAUUAAAAUAACCAAAACUGUGAAUUAUUUCUCCUUUUUAAAGGGGGGGUGUCCCAAAUGCUAUGUUCUUUUCAUUCUUUUGUGGGAUUCAAGCUACUUAUGAGUAGCAAUAAUUUGAUUCGCUAUUCAGCAUCCUUUGUGCAAUUAAGAUAUUAUAAAAUAGAUACAUUCAAGUUUAUUCAGAACUUACAUUUCUGCGUCUUCGCCAUAUCUGCUAUUGGGUAAAAUUGCUGUUUACCAUUUACCCAUUUACCCAAAGAGACUCCCAUAAAAACAGAAGGGGAUGAUUGAUCACAACUCUAAGGGAUAACACUUUGGGUGUUCCUAAUUCCUACCCCCUUAAGGUAGCACAUUAGGUGCGGUCAAGCAAUUUCUUUCUCUAAGCAUUUUGAACACUACCUAAGGAAAAGCAGUUAGCAUAAUUUCAUACCCUUAAGAUAGGACAAACAACCCCAUCUGACUAUUUUAGGAGAAGCCCUCCCCCUCCUUAAUGGAUGCUGUCAAAUGGGAUUUUCUCUUUUCUUAUAUAUGCUACUUUGUCUGGGGUUUUAACUGGGAGGUUAACAUUUAAGAAUGAUAUAACUGUGCUGUUAGACUGAAGUAGAAAAAGGAUAGUGAAUUGAAAUAUUUGUAUUCACAAAGAUUUGUAGUUGCAUCUUCCAGCAAUUUGGUACCUGUACCUGUACUGUGUUUUAAAAAUGGCUGAAUAUUUUACAUAGGUAUUUUUGGGUGCAAAAUGUUGGGCUCUCUUGCCGCAAACAUCUGCUGAAGUCUUUUGAUCUUCAAAGCUGUACUCAACAACAAAAAUGAGUAAUGCUGUACAUGGCAAGGCACAUAUAUGUUAGAUUAUUUGAUUAUAGAAAUGUAAAAUAGGAAAUAUCUGUUCAGUAUCAGUUGUCAAAACG